rnacentral:rRNA from 1 species
GAUGAACGCUGGCGGCGUGCCUAAUACAUGCAAGUCGAGCGAACAGACGAGGAGCUUGCUCCUCUGACGUUAGCGGCGGACGGGUGAGUAACACGUGGAUAACCUACCUCUAAGACUGGGAUAACUUCGGGAAACCGGAGCUAAUACCGGAUAAUAUAUUGAACCGCAGGGUUCAAUAGUGAAAGACGGUUUUGCUGUCACUUAUAGAUGGAUCCGCGCCGCAUUAGCUAGUUGGUAAGGUAACGGCUUACCAAGGCAACGAUGCGUAGCCGACCUGAGAGGGUGAUCGGCCACACUGGAACUGAGACACGGUCCAGACUCCUACGGGAGGCAGCAGUAGGGAAUCUUCCGCAAUGGGCGAAAGCCUGACGGAGCAACGCAGCGUGAGUGAUGAAGGUCUUCGGAUCGUAAAACUCUGUUAUUAGGGAAGAACAAAUGUGUAAGUAACUAUGCACGUCUUGACGGUACCUAAACAGAAAGCCACGGCUAACUACGUG